rnacentral:rRNA from 1 species
UACGUAGGGGGCAAGCGUUGUCCGGAAUUAUUGGGCGUAAAGAGCGUGUAGGCGGCCAGAUAAGUCCGCUGUGAAAUCUCGAGGCUCAACUUCGAGCUGUCGGUGGAAACUAUCUGGCUAGAGUCCGGAAGAGGAGAAUGGAAUUCCUGGUGUAGCGGUGAAAUGCGCAGAUAUCAGGAAGAACACCGGUGGCGAAGGCGGCUCUCUGGGCCUUACCUGACGCUGAGGAGCGAAAGCGUGGGUAGCGAACAGG